GCCGUCUACCUGAUGGGGGGUACUUUAUAUUUAAAUGAUCACAUAAAUUUUUCACUAAUAAAAAUAAAUUCAUGCAGCUGAAAGGGGAAAAGGAAAAAAGAAAAUUGGGGUUGGUGGGGGCGGGUUGCUGUGGGGUGUGGUUGGUUCAUGGCCUCCAUUAACUCUAUCAUUGUUUGCAUAUUGAAUAAAAUGAAUUUAAAUGCUUUCUUCUAAUUUUUAGAACAUUAAUCUUAUGGAACUGAAUAUUGAAUUUAGUAGCUCCCUGUCUUUUCAUUAAGGUUUGAUCGUGACUGGAAAAAGA
rnacentral:misc_RNA from 1 species